UACAGAGGUCCCAAGCGUUGUUCGGAUUCACUGGGCGUAAAGGGUGCGUAGGCGGGUCUUUAAGUCAGGGGUGAAAUCCUGGAGCUCAACUCCAGAACUGCCUUUGAUACUGAAGAUCUUGAGUUCGGGAGAGGUGAGUGGAACUGCGAGUGUAGAGGUGAAAUUCGUAGAUAUUCGCAAGAACACCAGUGGCGAAGGCGGCUCACUGGCCCGAUACUGACGCUGAGGAGCGAAAGCGUGGGGAGCGAACAGG
rnacentral:rRNA from 1 species